rnacentral:tRNA from 1 species
AUUUAAAUAGUGUAAAAAACACAUAACAUUUUCGUUGUUAAAUUCCUUUGGGUUUAAAUU